rnacentral:misc_RNA from 1 species
UCAAAAGUCAAGUCGGCAGCUGUAUGGCUGUCGUCUUCCACCCAUGUCUUUUGUGUACUCUUGUUUCCUCGGCGGCGCAAGCCGCCGAUUGGACAAAACUCAAAACCUUUUUGUAAUUGCAAUCAGCGUCUGAAAAUAUAAUAAUAUUUA